rnacentral:rRNA from 1 species
AUUGAACGCUGGCGGCACGCCUAACACAUGCAAGUCGAACGAGUGGCGGACGGGUGAGUAAUGUUUGGGAAACUGCCUUAUGGAGGGGGAUAACUACUGGAAACUGUCGCUAAUACCGCAUACCAUCGGAUGUGCCCCAAGGGGAUUAGCUAGUAGGUGGGGUAAAGGCUUACCUAGUCGACGAUCCCUAGCUGGUCUGAGAGGAUGACCAGACACACGGGGACUGAGACACGGUCCAGACUCCGACGGGAGGCAGCAGUGGGGAAUAUUGCACAAUGGGCGCAAGCCUGAGGCAGCCAUGCCGCGUGUAUGAAGAAGGCCUUCGGGUUGUAAAGUACUUUCAGCGAGGAGGCGUUACCCGCAGAAGAAGCACCGGCUAACUCCGUGCCAGCAGCCGCGGUAAUUC